ensembl:rRNA 5S_rRNA 5S ribosomal RNA
GUCUGUGGCCAUACCACUCUAAAUGUGCCCAAUCUCAUCUGAUCUCGGAAACUAAACAGGGUCGAGCCUGGUUAGUACUUGGAUUGGGAGAAGAAUAUGACCAAAUC